CAGUUCGAUAAAUAGAGACAGUGGGCAUAGUUUUAUUGUCAAGGUGAUCUGAUGUAAAGCUACCGUAUGCGAAGCAUGCAAGGAGUUCAUAUCAGACGAAGAUAGGAUCAAAGCAAUCAGAUACGUCGUAGUCUUCAUAACUAGCGACUAGGAUCGAUGAACAUCACAUUCAGUACUAUGAGAAAUCAAGUCUUGGUCUGGGGAGUAUGGUCGCAAGACUGAACUUAAAGAAUGACGGAAGGCGCGGCCAGGAGUGGAGCUGCGCUUAAUUUGACUCAACACGGGGAAACUAACAAGUACAAGACAUAGUAAGGAUGACAGAUGAUAGCUCUUCUUGAUUCUAUGGGUGGUUGUGCGUGACCGUCUUAGUGGUGGAGUGAUUUGUCUGGUUAAUUCCGAUAACGAACGAGACCUUAACCUGCUAACUAGAUAUUUUCAUUUUAUGAAUAUAUCUUCUUAGAGGGACUAUAUGCUUUAAGUAUAAGGAAGUAUGAGGCAAUAACAGGUCUGUGAUGCCCUUAUAUGUCCUGGGCUGCACGCGUGCUACACUGAUAUAUACAACAAGUGCCUAGCUAGAUAUAGUAUGGCAAUCUCGAAUAUAUAUCGUGAUGGGGAUAGAUCUUUGCAAUUAUAGAUCUUGAACGAGGAAUUCCUAGUAAGUGCAAGUCAUCAUCUUGCAUUGAUUAUGUCCCUGCCCUUUGUACACACCGCCCGUCGCUCCUACCGAUACCGGGUGACCCGGUGAACCUGUGGACCCAUGGGAAAAAUAAGUAACAUCAUAUCCUAAGGAAGGAGAAGUCGACAAGUAAUCGGAUCCCGCGAAAAGGCA
rnacentral:rRNA from 1 species